UGUGUUUUAAGACCCUAAAACUCUGCACCUGCUGAAGACUGUAACAAAAAUCUUUAAGUCUCUGCAUUCAUCAGUUUGAGCCAGCGAGACAGGUGCAUUGCACACACAUCCAUGCUCCCUCAGGCAGCCACCAAGUGCUCCCCUGGGGAGAAGCCUGGCCCGUUUGUGGUCACCGCCCUCUAGUUUCUCAUUUUCGCGACGGCUCUUUCCAAACGCAAUUCCUUCGGCUCAAAAGCCCUUCUCCAGCCAUGGCCUUAAUGAUCUAUUCUUUUUUCUCUUCUCUGCUCAACGAGGAUGCCUGUCUACCCAGCUCCAGCCCCUCAGAGCUCCCUCAAAACGGUCUAUAUUUUUUAUUUUUAAAUUUGUUUUGGCUGCAGAGGAUCUUAGUUUCCGCCAAUGGGGAUCUUUCAUUGCGGCUUGCAGGCUCAGUUGCUGCCUGGUAAGUGCGAACUUAGCUCCCCUACCAGGGAUCAAACCUGCCUCCCCUCCCUUGCAAGGAGGAUUCUUAACCAAUGGAUCACUAGAGAAGUCCUAUAUUUUUUAUUUUUUGGUUGGAUUGACAAGGUCCAACAUCCCUAAAGGAUCACCUCCCCAUCCUGAGUCUGGCACUGUGGCGCUCAUAGAUGCGGGGCUUAUCAAACAGAAAGAACUAAGUCGUAUUCCCGUUCUCAUCAUUAAACCUGCCCGCCCUGCAGCUGGAUGUCCCCUCCGGUCUCCCAGGAGACAGAAACUCUCAUAUAAAACAGCGCCGACCAGCCAGUCCCGCGUUCCCAGUACCGCGACCCUUACUGAAGCUCGCUGGAGCAAACCUCCGCCCUCUGGCGGGCCGCCGCUCUGCGCCUGCGCCCUUGGGAUGUAGGCUAGGCUUUCCGCACUCCCCGCCGGAAGACUCCACUAGCCUCGUCAGUCCAGGUGGAGCGAAGUUUCGGCCCUUGGUGGGAGGGGCGGGGCGGGGGGAGUCUCUCAUUUUUCAGUUAAGUUCAGUCGCUCAGUCGUGUCCGACUCUUUGCAACCCCAUGGACUGCAGCACACCAGGCCUCCCUGUCCAUCACCAACUCCUGAAGUUUACUCAAACUCGUGUCCAUUGAGUCGGUGAUGCCAUCCAACCAUCUCAUCCUCUGUCGUCCCCUUCUCCUCCUGCCCCCAAUCCN
rnacentral:lncRNA from 1 species